GGCAACAUGGCCGAGCGGUCUAAGGCGCUAGAAUCAGGCUGCAUUGGGUUGAUUACCUAAUAAUGCUAGCGUAAUCUAGUCCGAAAGGGCGCGAGUUCGAAUCUCGCUGUUGUCA